rnacentral:misc_RNA from 1 species
AAAAAUGCUUAAUUGCAUCAUACCUUUUGUGCACUGUAAAUUUUUCACUUAAACUUUGUCUGAUUAAUUAUCAUUCUGAAAAGAAUGUGAAUUCUAAUCAAAUA